rnacentral:rRNA from 1 species
ACGGAGGGUGCAAGCGUUAUCCGGAUUCACUGGGUUUAAAGGGUGCGUAGGUGGACUAGUAAGUCAGUGGUGAAAGCUCGCAGCUCAACUGUGAAAUUGCCAUUGAAACUAUUAGUCUUGAGUUCGAUUGAUGUGGGCGGAAUAUAGCAUGUAGCGGUGAAAUGCUUAGAUAUGCUAUAGAACACCGAUUGCGAAGGCAGCUCACAAACUCGACACUGACACUGAGGCACGAAAGCGUGGGGAGCGAACAGG